CCUACGGGUGGCAGCAGUGGGGAAUAUUGGGCAAUGGACGCAAGUCUGACCCAGCAACGCCGCGUGAAGGAAGAAGGCUUUCGGGUUGUAAACUUCUUUUAAUGGGGAAGAGCAGAAGACGGUACCCCUUGAAUCAGCCACGGCUUACUACGUGACAGCAGCCGCGGUAAUACGUAGGUGGCAAGCGUUGUCCGGAUUUACUGGGUGUACAGGGCGUGUAGCCGGAGAUGCAAGUCAGAUGUGAAAUCCACGGGCUCAACCCGUGAACUGCAUUUGAAAAUGUUUGCCUUGAGUGUCGGAGAGGUAAUCGGAAUGCCUUGUGUAGCGGUGAAAUGCGUAGAUAUAAGGCAGAACACCAGUGGCGAAGGCGGAUUACUGGACGAUAACUGACGGUGAGGCGCGAAAGCGUGGGGAGCAAACAGGAUUAGAUACCCCUGUAGUC
rnacentral:rRNA from 1 species